rnacentral:tRNA from 1 species
GGUAGCUCAGCGGUAGAGUGCUUGCCUUGCAUGCAAGAGGCCUUGGGUUUGAUUCCUCAGCACCA